GACGCAUGUCUAUUCUUGACGUUGUCUUUGUUGUGUGGAAGCAGUAAUAGUUCGCAGAAGUUUGUCAUCAGUUAAAGAACUUAAGAAAAUCCCGAAAGCCUUACACGGGACUCUACACUAUAGAAUUAACUAUGAUGAACUAUCUGUUAAUAGCUCUAUUCUUGACGCUGCAACUAGUUCCAGUCUUGUCAACAUUCUGUGUACCUCAAACAGUUUAUGCCACUUGUAAUAUGGAGCCGACAUCUGGGAAUUCUGUUCGGGGUACAGUAGAUUUUAGACAAAGGGUGGGUUGGGGAUGUUGGCCUAUUGGUAGUUUGGAGAUAAUGGUAGAUUUAACAGGACUGCCAGCCGAUACUGGCAUCAUUGCUCAUGGAUUUCAUAUUCAUGAAUAUGGUGAUUUGUCGGAAGGCUGCACAAGCACUGGC